rnacentral:rRNA from 1 species
CCUACGGGAGGCAGCAGUGGGGAAUAUUGGGCAAUGGGCGCAAGCCUGACCCAGCAACGCCGCGUGAAGGAAGAAGGCUUUCGGGUUGUAAACUUCUUUUCUCAGGGACGAAGCAAGUGACGGUACAUGAGGAAUAAGCCACGGCUAACUACGUGCCAGCAGCCGCGGUAAUACGUAGGUGGCACGCGUUAUCCGGAUGUACUGGGUGUAAAGGGCGUGUAGGCGGGGACGCAAGUCAGAUGUGAAAACCACGGGCUCAACCUGUGGCCUGCAUUUGAAACUGUGUUUCUUGAGUACUGGAGAGGCAGACGGAAUUCCUAGUGUAGCGGUGAAAUGCGUAGAUAUUAGGAGGAACACCAGUGGCGAAGGCGAUCAGCUGGACAGCAACUGACGCUGAGGCGCGAAAGCGUGGGGAGCAAACAGGAUUAGAUACCCCGGUAGUC